rnacentral:rRNA from 1 species
CUUGGUCAUUUAGAGGAAGUAAAAGUCGUAACAAGGUUUCCGUAGGUGAACCUGCGGAAGGAUCAUUAAUGAGUUAGGGUCUUCCAGGCCCGAUCUCCAACCCUUUGUAUAACUACCAUGUUGCUUUGGCGAGCCCGUCUUUAACCGGACCGCCGGGAGGUUUUAAACCCCCUGGCCAGCGCUCGUCAAUAGCCCUUAAUAAACUCUUUUUAACCAUGUCAAAUCUGAAAAUAGUUAAAAUAAACUAAAACUUUCAACAACGGAUCUCUUGGUUCUGGCAUCGAUGAAGAACGCAGCGAAAUGCGAUAAGUAAUGCGAAUUGCAGAAUUCAGUGAGUCAUCGAAUCUUUGAACGCACAUUGCGCCCCUUAGUAUUCUGAAGGGCAUGCCUGUUCGAGCGUCAUUAUCACUAAUCAAGCCCGGCUUGCUGUUGGACCUCUUUGCCGUUAAAAAGGGCAGGUCCUAAAGAUAAUGACGGCGUCAUUUAGACCCUAGAUGCAACGAGCUUUAACUAGCACGCAUUUUUAGUUGGCCUCUUUGACCCGGUCUUUUAACCAAUUUUUAAGGUUGACCUCGGAUCAGGUAGGAAUACCCGCUGAACUUAAGCAUAUCAAUAAGCGGAGGAAAAGAAACCAACAGGGAUUACCUCAGUAACGGCGAGUGAAGCGGUAAUAGCUCAAAUUUGAAAUCUGGCUCUUUCAGGGUCCGAGUUGUAAUUUGUAGAGGAUGUUUCGGGCACAGUUACGGUUUAAAUUUCUUGGAACAGAAUGUCAUAGAGGGUGAGAGUCCCGUCUUGAACCGAUUACUUCGUCCAUGUGAAACUCCUUCGACGAGUCGAGUUGUUUGGGAAUGCAGCUCAAAAUGGGUGGUAAAUUUCAUCUAAAGCUAAAUAUUGGCCAGAGACCGAUAGCGCACAAGUAGAGUGAUCGAAAGAUGAAAAGCACUUUGAAAAGAGAGUUAAACAGUAUGUGAAAUUGUUGAAAGGGAAGCGCUUGUAAUCAGACUUGAGCUUAACAGUUCCCCCUUCGUUUUCGUUGGGUUAUUCUGUUUUGUCCAGGCCAACAUCAGUUCGAGUGGUUGGUUAAAGACUUUGGGAAUGUAUCUACCCUCCGGGGUCGACUUAUAGCCUAGAGUGUCAUGCAGCCUACUUGGACUGAGGAACGCGCUUCGGCUCGGAUGUUGGCGUAAUGGUUAUAAGCGACCCGUCUUGAAACACGGACC